rnacentral:lncRNA from 1 species
GAAGCCAGCGUCAAUUUCAGGGAACCUUCCGAACAAAAUUGCAUCAAAUUACUUUUCUAAAGAUCCUAAUGGUGAUCAGGCAUUAAGACAAUUAGAUAGUUUUUAUCCCGAUGAUUAACAAUUCAAAGUAUGCAUGCAAUCAAUCAUAAGCAAUUAGAUAAAAAUCACAUAUUCAUGCUAAGGCUCAAGGCUUCGCCCUAGCAAUAGAAAUUAGUUCCGCAUAUUCAUAAUUGAAAUCAUAGAAAUAUCUCAAAAAAAGGAUUGAAAGCACCUUCAAGUAAAAAGUCUUCAAAACCCUAACAAUUCUCUCUGUCUCCAAAAUUGCAUAAAAGAAAGCGUAAUCUAAAACUGUAGACGGCUAAGCAAUAUAUUUGCCAAGCCACCCCAAAACCCUAGAAAACAUAACCCUAAAUUAAAUGAUAAAAAUUCGUCUAAAAUCUGAACAGCCACGUUUUGACCCAUAAGCUACUCCAAAACUGGCCCAAUAUAGCUGGAUUUAAUGUUUGGAAUAUUCUGAACACUUUUCCAGAAGGCCACGAACCCAUCCGAGGUCAUCUUGGGCUCUAAAAACGCAAUUUAAGCCCAAAAACGUCAUUUUCCAGCACUGCGCACUGCUUCUUUAUUUUAUCGCCAGAAAAUAAUCGCUUGGUGGAAAAAUCCCAAAUUUUGAUACGAUCAAGCUAAGUGACUAACGAACGUCCUCCAACUGGAAUUACUCCAAAAUUCGUCCAUUUGGUCCUGUUUUGCUCCAGAGGAAGUUGAAAAUCCUAUAUUGAAAAUACAAUUCAAAGUAUCAAAAUUCUUCCAAUAUAUUAACCAAAAUACACUAAGAUUAGGGUAAAAUAUAUAAUAUAAAAUCUACUCAUCAAA